rnacentral:rRNA from 1 species
AUACUGAGGGUGCAAGCGUUAAUCGGAAUUACUGGGCGUAAAGCGCGCGUAGGCGGUAAGUUAAGUUGGAUGUGAAAUCCCUGGGCUCAACCUAGGAACUGCAUUCAAAACUGGCUCACUAGAGUAUGGUAGAGGCAAGUGGAAUUCCAGGUGUAGCGGUGAAAUGCGUAGAUAUCUGGAGGAACAUCAGUGGCGAAGGCGACUUACUGGGCCAAUACUGACGCUGAGGUGCGAAAGCGUGGGUAGCAAACGGGAUUAGAUACCCUAGUAGUCC